rnacentral:pre_miRNA from 1 species
GGCCCGAGCCGGUUGAUCAUGGAGAAGGUCGGGCUUCCGGGUCGGAGAAGCCCGACCUUCUCCAUGAUCAACCCGGCUGGUUCA